GCAUUCUCCACCCUGUGUGGCCACAGGCUGCCUCCCAGACCAGCCUGACUAUCCUGGGGAGUAUCGUCCUGCAAACAGUGGUCUCUUGGGAGAAGCAAGCAGGGCUUCCUCCGUCCGGGCCUCACACUGACUUGGCGAGCAAGAGCACCGGAGAGACGGCUCUGUUGCAGGGGUCACCGGCCAAGGAGGCGGUCUACCCUGUGGGUCCUCCCCGCUGCAGGGCACACAGAGUGGCGCCCGUGGGGCUGAGCACGAGGCAGUGGCUCCUGACCCUCCUACAGCAUCAGCACCGCCUCUGCCGGCCGCUGCCGGGAGUCCAGGACCGGGCGGACAGGAGAAGCCCCACCUUUGGCUCAGCACAAAGCCCACAGCACAGCCCCGGUGCACAGACGCGGUCACAUGCACGCCCGUCCACACACACCCAGAGUAAGUCAGACGGGUGAGCAAUGGUGACUGGCUUUGAAUAAACACAAUCAGCGAUUUCAGACCUCUGGGGACCAGGUUACCUUUUCUGGGCCUCGAGGCUCGAGCACCAAGCGGAGGCCUGGCGCCCUCUGCCGGUGAGCUUGGGCGUGCACACCUGGUCUGUGGUUAAUAAGCUGGGGGAGCCGCCUCCUCUGCGCUGCGUCCCGUGGGAUGGCAGAAAUUCUCCCGCUCCCUCCUUUCCGUCUAGGGAUUAAGAGUGAUUUACUUCAAGUCAUUCUCCCAAAGGCAGGAUCGUCUCCCUGUCGUGUGAAAGGAAAGAUGAGGCUCAGAGAGUUUAAGCAAAUGUCCCAGGAUCACACAGCAAGUUGGGGGCAGUCCUGGAAUUGGUCUCCUUCACUGGAGAACCAGAACUGACGUCACUGGGCCCACCCAGACCCCCGCAGGAGUCCGCACCUGGGUGUCCCCUUCACCCUGUUCUCCCGGGUCAAAGGCCAACGCUGGACCAUUUCUAUAUCCUGGGCCUGCUCAGGGAGGGCUCUGGGCUAAAGGAAUCGCGAUGCUGGGCAAAUGCUCCCUCAGACACUUAGUGAGGAAGCGUAAUUGGGGGACCACUGCAGGAACUGAGGUCCUGAAGGGGCCUGCAACAGCCCUCCCCUCGGGGAGCUCCCACCCCUGGGGGAGACAGGCCAGAUGAGACUACCAAGAAGUCACACCCCUGCCUUCCUACAGGGAGCAGUGCUGGAUUUAGGUGGAGGUCAAGUGGCCUGAGGGUGAAGGUUAGAGGGCUCCUGAAGCCAGGCCAGGCUGGGUUCUCUGGCAGGGAGUGGGCGCCCAAGCCCAGGAUCACUGCCUUCUUGGUGGGAGUCUCCUAUGCCAUCCUUCCCCUGUGCUCAGCCCCUCCAGGAUCAUAGGGGCCACCCAUUUGUCUUGCUAGUAGGGGCCCUCUUUAUCCUUGAGAACGUACAGGUUGAGACAGUGUUCGUGUCUUGCUUUUUUGGGCUGGGCCACCUUGGUGCCAUUCUUCUGGAUGCUCCUGGGAUUCAGGAAGUGAGGUCUUUGAAAUGAACGUUCAGGCUGCAAUUAACCCUAAGGAUUUACUGCAGCUUACAAAGAAACUUUUUCUUUUCAGAGCUGUUGGCCAGGGGCCAGGGCUGUCCCCACUCCCAUCUGGUCCUGGCGGUCUGCCCUUGAGGCUGGGGCAAUAUGAGGAGUGUGUAGGCAAGUCCAAGGCUAUGACUCCCAUCAUGUCUCCAGGCUCCAGGCGUCUUCUUAGGUUGCCUGCCUGGUAACAACUGUAGUCAGUGUCUCACACAGGCCCCAAAGCUCAGCUAAGUCUCCUCACCUGGGAAAAGGCUUCCUUCAUGGGCCCACUCCUCCCUGAUUCUCUUGUGUGCCUGAGAUCUUUUAACAAUAGUUCCCAUCACUGGGCAGUGAGUAGAUGCCUCAUACAGGGAAACCCCUCACUGCUGUACCAUGAUGAUUACAGGACAAGGACUUGGAGCCAGAUAGACCGGGAUCUGAUCCCAGUUCAGCCAAUUACUAUCUGUCACCUUGGGCAAGCUGCUUAACUUCUCUGAACCUCAGUUUCCAAAUCUGUCAGUCAGGAUAAUAGUUCUUAUGGCCUGGGGUUGUGCAGGAAUGGAAUGGGAUAAUGCAUGGACUCCACGGAGUAAAUCGUUUGUGUGAUAGUGGCAUUAUUUCUUCUUUAAAUGUCACUGUGACUUACUCUACUACCCUGAGGUCUGGUUCAGAAGUUCUGGUAAGAAGUUACAGGGUGAUCCUGUGAGUUUGCAUAGAGAAAGCACUCAGACACGGGCUGCAGGAACUGUGGCCACAUUUGAGAGCACUUGAGCUACUGCCACACACUUCAGAAUAUCUGGAGGCAGGAACAGAGAAGGGGAGGUUGUGCAUAGUAUAUUCCAGGCUCUGUGCUAGAUCCUUUGCAUCGGAGGCUUCAGUUAAUACAAAUUGUUUGUUGUAAGAUAGCAUUAUCUCCAAGCCUAGAGAGGCCAUGAGACUUGCCCGAGGCCAGAAUCUAGUGUGGUAGAAGCUGCUAGUCUCCAAUAACUUUCUACUAUUUUAUCAGGGUAAGAAAAGUUGUAGCAGGAAACAUGGCUGCCCAGAAUGAAGACUGCAUUUCCCAGUCUCCUGUGUGGGUAGGCGUGGUCACAUGACUGAGUUCUGGCCAAAGAGAAGUAAGUAGACGCGUUAUGCAGCAGUGUCUGGGAACCUUUCUUAAGACACAGGUUGUGCAUCUGCUGUCUGCUCCUUCUUCUUUGUCCCUCCCUCUGUUUUGCUACUUGGUAGGCAGGUGCUACCUUGUACCAUGAGGGCAAGGGCCACUCAAUAACAACACAAUUGCUGCUGUUGUGAAUUUUCUGUUACUCUCAUUUCUACCUCAUCUUAACUGAGAUGCCCUGUGAUAGAGUGGGGGAUUUGAACCUGAGUCAGUCAGCUGUUUCUCAACACAAUGCGAGGUUUCUGGGUCCCCUGUGUGCUCCUGCUGUACCUCAUCAGCUCUUAGGUGUGAAGCAUCCCUUAGAACUCUGAUGAGGUGGCGUUGAAGGAGGGGAGCCACUCUAAUGCAGCUUUUCGAACUCAUCCAUUCCAAAGAUGGCUCAGGGCCUUUGCUAGAUCCAGAGGCAGCUUGAGGGCGAAAGUCCAGGGCCCUGAGAGGGUGGAAGAGGUGACACUUCUAAGAUCCAGGAAACCCCAGCCUCUGCCACAAGACUGGCUGCACAGCUACCCCUGUGGCAGGUGAAGGCAGUGCUCAGGUAGUCCUGGGACUCUUUCUAAACUUCUCUGGCCUGGCCCUCAAUGUCCUCUGACAGACUCUAGCUUGCUGGGACACCUCUAAGGAAACUGCCAAGGGAACUGCAGAAGCAGGAGCAGGUGAGAAGUGCCCGGGUGUCUUCUUUCCAUGGGGGAAUUUGGAGAAGCAUUCUGAGCCCAGCAAAGUGUCAGGCAGGCAAGGUAAGGCCUCACCUGAUAGGAGGUGUAUCCUCGUACCUAGUCUCAGCAAGGAAGGUUGCCAGCUUCAUGGCUCUUUUGAGUUAAAAGGGCUGUAAGAUCCUUGGUAAACGACCAGAGCCUGAAUGUCACAGGGAAGAGGUUGGACUGGGACCCAAUACAGCUGCCUAUGUAUCUGAGAAGACGCUAUUUAUAAACAGAGAAGGUAUUUAUUGGCUGGACAAUCCUGAGGAAGUCUCCCACUUCUCACUCUCAUUCAUAAAGUGGGGAUCAUGAUCACUACCUCUCAAGCUUACUGUAACAUUGAAUGAGGUAAUGAAUAUGAAAACACUCAAAAUCUAUAAAGUAUCUACAAACCUGGAAGAUUAUAAUUCUGCAUUUGUACAGUAGAAAUAACAGUACCAUGGUUGCUAUUAGUGCCCAGCCAAAUCCCCUUUACUGGUCUGGUGCAACCCUCCAUCCCUGCCCACCGGCUGCUGUGAGGUUUGGCUGGUAACAGUUCACAGUUAUUCCCUCUGCAGAGACUUCCCCGGGAAUGGAAGCUGCCUUACUUGGGGCUUGCAGCCGAUGCUUGUCUGACACAGGGGCAGGAAAGGCCAGUCCCCGACCUCAAGACAAGAUGAACUCUGGUGUAGCACAUGCUUCAGGGAUCCCCAUGAAAUCAGGCCGCAGCUCAGCCACAGCUGACACCACAGCCUGGCUCCCUCCUUCCCCACCCCACUCUCCUUCCUUUUCUUUCUUCUGAGGGUUCUUCCCCAACAGAAGAAGAUAUGCAUGAAAUCUGUCCCAGGCUCUGCUUUUAAGGAAUCUGGUCCACUUGUCUGCCGUACAAAGUUGCUAUGAGGGUUAAAUAAUAUAAUACAGAUGAAGAGAUUAGCCCAGUGCCUGGCAUAUACAGUGCAUAUCCAAUUAAUGUUAAAGAUUGCCAUUAUCCAUGAGACUGGAGCAUCAGGAACAUCUUAGUGUAAUAGUGAGGUGUGGAAAUCUGGUGAGUGAGUCAGUGGAUUGAAUUUUACAUGCUUAGGGACUGGGGUGGGCAGAGAGAAGGGCAGCUGGGUUUCCUUGGGUAUCACUGGUUGUCUCAGCUUUGGGCAGUGAGGGUCCUUUACACAGCUAGGGAAAAGUUCCAGUCAUUACAUACUUCUACCAGCAGAGGACGCCACUUCCAUACAAAUAAGUGUUUCCUCUGCUAUCUGAUGCAGUUUUCAUCAAAGCAGUCUAGGCUGGCAGGAAAGAUCAGGUACAUGACAGAGCAGAAAGUGCCUUCAGAUUUGCACAGAUAAUAGGAGAGGGCAGAACAGGAAGAAACAGUGAGUUAAGCUGUUCAGGAAGCUUCGUGGGAGGUGAGGCCUUGAGCAGGGCACUCUAGCACCAGAAGGAGUAUUGAGUGGAGAUGGCAUUCCCAGGGAAGCCACUACCCUAGGCAAGGUGACCAGGGCCUGAGCCAGGGCCGUGGCAGGGAGGCAGCCACGAGAGGGUAUGAAGGACACCAAACACAGGGACAGGACUGAUUUCAGCUGAGAGGUCUAGGAGGAGAUCAUGGGCCCACCAACAUGGGGUAGACGUCAGGAAGGAGCACGUUUUUAUAGGACAGAGCACACUUCUCCAACUGGUUUGACUGCCCUGUUACAAUGUCCUCUGCAAGCCAUCAUUCUGUAGGAUUCCUGUUUUGUGUGGAUUCUAGAAACCAGUGAAAUAUUCAGAGGUGUUAAUAGCAUCAAGAUUUCAUUGGUUCUUUCCAUUCUUUUUAUUUUUAUUUUUUGAGAUGGGGUCUCAGUCCCUGCCCCAGGCUGGAGUGCAGUGGCACCAUCACAGCUCACCACAGCCUCAACACCCCAGGGCUCAGGCGAUCCUCCUGCCUCAGCCUCCUGAGUAGCUGAGACCAUAGGUACGUACCACCAUGCCUGGCUAAUUUUACAUAUAUACACAUAUAUGUGUGUAUAUAUAAUUAUAUACGUAUAUAUACACAUAUAUACAUAUAUAAUUAUAUACAUAUAUACAUAUAUACACACACAUAUAUGUGUAUAUAUAUACACACAUAUAUAUGUAUAUAUACACAUAUGUAUAUGUGUGUGUGUGUGUGUGUAUAUAUAUAUAUAUAUAUAUAUAUAUAUAUAUUUGAAGAGACAGGGUCUCCUUACGUUGUCCAGACUGAUCUUGAACUCCUGGGCUCAAGCGAUCCUCCUGUCUCAGUCUCCCAAAGUGCUGGGAUUACAGACGUGAGCCACCGCGCCUGGCCAGCUUUUUCCGUUUUGAGUAGAGACGGCAAGAAGCGCCCCACAGCUUGCCCUUGCUUCGGAACUCGGGGUUGUGAAUCAGUCAGGAUAGAAAUUAAUGGUGCAGUGGGAAUAAAGAGGAAUGUUAGAUGAUCUCGCAGGGGUGGGGGAGAACCCAAAAAGAAAGAACGAACGUGAAGAAGCCUAGCUCUCCGAGACUGGGGUUCAGUCCUUGCUGGAGAAAGUGCGUUGCAGCCCAUUGAGGGCAGAAGAGUUCUCUGGGUUGUCCCUGGACAGAACCGGGCCACAGUCAAGAGAGCGAACAUUGUGGGGAAGAGAACGGCAGGCCACGGCUCAGGGGCUGGAAGCCCCCUGCUGGGGUGCCCACAAAAUUCCUCCGGAAGUUGCUGUUGGGGGAUGCGCUGAACUCAUGGCAAAGCCACCUAGGACUCACGCAGAACUUGCUGGGAAGCUGCCCCCGGGGAAGUGCGCAUGCGGGACUUCGCAGGAAACUGGCUGGGUCAAGUCGGCUCCACCAGGAAUCCACCCAAGACGGUGCGGCUGAACUCGCCACUGGGAAACUAAGUGGGACACCCACAGAACUAGCCGUGAAGAUGCCUGCGGAAGUGCCCUGAAACUGAGCUGAGAACCCCGGGGGUUCAGAGUCCCGAAAGCAAGUAGGAAGGAAAGCUUAAAGAAACCGCAAGAGAAGUCUCUUCUUCUCUCUGUCCUCUAGCGCCCUCUACUGACACAGUUUAACACUGUGCCCGCUGGCAAGGGAGAAACGUUUGGAGCCAGAGAGUAAUAAACUGGUAACUGGUACAGGAUGUUAGCCAACUCCACUGAGGAUGGGAGAGCUCUUCUAUAAGCCCUUUUUGAAAAAUAGUACUUGAGGACAUAGUCCUGCCAGCUAAGAAACGAAUCAAAAUAAAUAAUUCAACAGAAAAAAUGUAAAAGAAAAGGCAAAGAACAAUCAAAUCAAUAAAACUAAAUGAACGAAAUAAUUAUAAUUAAUAUAAUAUGAAACUAAUCAUUAUUAUUAAAAUUAAAUAUAAUAAAUAUUUCAUGAUUAUAAA